rnacentral:rRNA from 1 species
CACGUAGGUGGCAAGCGUUAUCCGGAAUCAUUGGGCGUAAAGGGUGUGUAGGCGGUUGUGUUAGUCUUUUGUUAAAUUCUUCGGCUUAACCGGGGACAUGCGAAGGAAACGGCACAACUAGAGGAUGCGAGAGGUGAAUGGAACUCAUGGAGUAGGGGUGAAAUUCGUAGAUAUCAAGCGGAACACCGGUGGCGAAGGCGGCUUACUGGUCCGGUUCUGACGCUGAGGCGCGAAAGCGUGGGGAGCAAACAGG